rnacentral:rRNA from 1 species
UACGAAGGGGGGCUAGCGUUGCUCGGAAUUACUGGGCGUAAAGCGCACGUAGGCGGCUUUCUAAGUCGGGGGUGAAAUCCUGGAGCUCAACUCCAGAACUGCCUUCGAUACUGGAAGCUCGAGUCCGGGAGAGGUGAGUGGAACUGCGAGUGUAGAGGUGAAAUUUCGUAGAUAUUCGCAAGAACACCAGUGGCGAAGGCGGCUCACUGGCCCGGUACUGACGCUGAGGUGCGAAAGCGUGGGGAGCAAACGGGG